rnacentral:rRNA from 1 species
UACGUAGGGUGCAAGCAUUAAUCGGAUUUAUUGGGCGUAAAGGGCGCGUAGGCGGGUUUAUAAGUCGGGUGUGAAAUUCCGAGACUCAAUUUCGGAGCUGCAUCUGAAACUAUAGAUCUAGAGGUUCGGCGGAGAAAAUGGAAUUCCACAUGUAGCGGUGAAAUGCGUGGAUAUGUGGAGGAACACCGGUGGCGAAAGCGGUUUUCUAGCUGACACCUGACGCUGAUGCGCGAGAGCAAGGGGAGCAAACAGG